rnacentral:rRNA from 1 species
GACGAACGCUGGCGGCGUGCUUAACACAUUCAAGUCGAACGGAAAGGCCCUGCUUUUGUGGGGUGCUCGAGUGGCGAACGGGUGAGUAACACGUGAGUAACCUGCCCUUGACUUUGGGAUAACUUCAGGAAACUGGGGCUAAUACCGGAUAGGAGCUCCUGCUGCAUGGUGGGGGUUGGAAAGUUUCGGCGGUUGGGGAUGGACUCGCGGCUUAUCAGCUUGUUGGUGGGGUAGUGGCUUACCAAGGCUUUGACGGGUAGCCGGCCUGAGAGGGUGACCGGCCACAUUGGGACUGAGAUACGGCCCAGACUCCUACGGGAGGCAGCAGUGGGGAAUAUUGCACAAUGGGCGGAAGCCUGAUGCAGCAACGCCGCGUGCGGGAUGACGGCCUUCGGGUUGUAGACCGCUUUCGCCUGUGACGAAGCGUGAGUGACGGUAAUGGGUAAAGAAGCACCGGCUAACUACGUG